rnacentral:rRNA from 1 species
CGCGAACGGCUCAUUAUAACAGCUAUAAUUUACUUGAUCUUGACACAAUCCUACUUGGAUAACUGUGGUAAUUCUAGAGCUAAUACAUGCAUUAAAGCUCUGACCUCACGGGAAGAGUGCAUUUAUUAGAACAAAACCAAGCGGCUUCGGCUGUUUCUGGUUGACUCAUAGUAACUGAGCUGAUCGCAUGGUCUUGCACCGGCGACGUGUCUUUCAAGUAUCUGCCGUAUCAACUUUCGAUGGUAGUGUAUCUGACUACCAUGGUGAUCACGCGUAACGGAGAAUAAGGGUUCGGCUCCGGAGAGUUCGCCUGAGAAAUCGCGAACACAUCUAAGGAAGGCAGCAGGCGCGAAAAUUACCCACUCUCAGCACGAGGAGGUAGUGACGAAAAAUAACGAGACCGUUCUCUUAUGAGGCCGGUCAUCGGAAUGGGUACAAUUUAAACCCUUUAACGAGUAUCUAUGAGAGGGCAAGUCUGGUGCCAGCAGCCGCGGUAAUUCCAGCU